GGGUGGUGGUUUUAGGUAGUCUGGGAAAUCAAAGAUAAUUUGUAGAUUUCCAACAAUCACUAAGUUUGCUAUUUAGAUUUUUCUUCAGUUUCUGAAUUUGAAUGCUCAUGCAAAGUAUUUACAAGGGGCCAACUUCAGCUGCUAGUCCCCCCCCCCCUCUCCUCUAUCUCUCCUGAGCUGGAGGAGGGUCUCCCUUAUCCUCUGUCUGAGAGCCAGUCACUCCCUGAUACUCUGUGAUUCUCUCCCUGUGGAGCUCAGCCCAGCCCCAGCCCCAGCUCUCUGCAUGCUCAGGGUGUGCAGGGUCCUAGCGGAGAUCAUGGUAUUAACUAGUGAAUUUCUAAUCUUG